ACCACGGUAACCUGUGCCUAAGAGUGUAGAAUAAGGUGCAAUCCUAUUAGUUUGUUGGUAGUGUAAAGGACUACCAAGGCAGUGAUGGGUAACGGGAAAUCAGGGUUUGAUUCCGGAGAGGGAGCCUGAGAGAUGGCUCCCACGUCCAAGGAUGGCAGCAGGCGCGAAAAUUGUCCACUCUUUUGAGAGGAGACAGUUAUGAAACGUGAGUCGAAGGGUCGAGUGUAAAAACCUUGACGUGAAGCAAUUGGAGGGCAAGUUUUGGUGCCAGCAGCCGCGGUAAUUCCAACUCCAAGAGUGUCUAUGGCGGAUGCUGCAGUUAAAGGGUCCGUAGUCGUAGAUGCAAUUAAAAGGUGGUGUUAAAAGCCAUUGAGUUUGUUGAGAGUAGCGGAACGGAUAGGGAGCAUGGUAUAGGUGGGCAAAGAAUGAAAUCUCAAGACCCCACC
rnacentral:rRNA from 1 species